GAAAGUAAAAGUCGUAACAAGGUUUCCGUAGGUGAACCUGCGGAAGGAUCAUUAUUGUAUAACCGAGGUGCGAGGGCUGUCGCUGACCCGAAAGGCCGUGCACGCCCGAGUGCCCUCACACACAUCCAUCUCACCCCUAUGUGCACCACCGCGUGGGUCCCCCUUUGGCUUGUUCGGAGGGGGGCUUACGUUUUCACACAAACUUUGUAUGCAGUGUAGAAUGUAUUUUUUGUUUUUGCGAUCACGCAAUCAAUACAACUUUCAACAACGGAUCUCUUGGCUCUC
rnacentral:misc_RNA from 1 species